GGGUGUGAUCAUACCAGCACCAAUGUACCGGAUCCCACCAAAACUCCACAGUGAAGCGUUCUUGGGUGAAAGUAGUACUAGUAUGGGUGACAUCCUGGGAAGUCCUCGUGUUGCACCCC
rfam:Vitis vinifera, whole genome shotgun sequence of line PN40024, unoriented chromosome 17, chr17